GGAAUUUCCCAAUGGGAAACCUGAUCAGGACGCCCUGAAGAAGACGCUUCGGUUGAAACUUUUCACCAGGACGAAGUAACGGACGUACCUGAGAAGAGCACGGCUACUUCGGGCAGCAGCGCGGUAUACGUAGGGGCCAGCGUGUCCGAAUUUGGGCGUAAGAGCUUGUAGCGGUUCUCGCGUCGCUGGAAAAACCGGGGUUACUCCGGUCUGCAGUGGUACGGCAACUAGAGUGUGUAGGGAGACUGAAUUCCUGGGUAGCGGGGAAUGCGCAGAUUCAGGAGGACACCGAUGGCGAGGCAGUCUCUGGCCAUUAUGGCGCUGAGAAGCGAAAGCAUGGGAGCGAACAGGAUAGAUCCCCUGGUAGUCCAUGCCGUAAACGUUGGCGCUAGGUGUGGACUCAUUCCACGAGUUCCGUGCCGCAGCUAACGCAUUAAGCGCCCCGCCUGGGGAGUACGGCCGCAAGGCUAAAACUCAAAGGAAUUGACGGGGGCCCGCACAAGCGGCGGAGCAUGCGGAUUAAUUCGAUGCAACGCGAAGAACCUUACCAAGGCUUGACAUACACCGGAAUCAUGCAGAGAUGUGUGCGUCUUCGGACUGGUGUACAGGUGGUGCAUGGUUGUCGUCAGCUCGUGUCGUGAGAUGUUGGGUUAAGUCCCGCAACGAGCGCAACCCUCGUUCCAUGUUGCCAGCACUUCGGGUGGGGACUCAUGGGAGACUGCCGGGGUCAACUCGGAGGAAGGUGGGGAUGACGUCAAAUCAUCAUGCCCCUUAUGUCUUGGGCUUCACGCAUGCUACAAUGGCCGGUACAGAGGGUUGCGAAACCGUGAGGUGGAGCUAAUCCCAAAAAACCGGUCUCAGUUCGGAUUGGGGUCUG
rnacentral:rRNA from 1 species